ensembl:lncRNA CCDC26 CCDC26 long non-coding RNA
ACUUGAGAUAUUGCAAGUGAUGAGCAAAACAGGGCGUCUCAGGGUCUUGACCACCUCAAGCCAGGUGAGACACCUUACAGGAUGUCUCCUAAGCUGAUCAGUCUAUGAACAUUUAGUGACCUACAGAAUCUCCCUGUGACAUCUGUUCACUGGGCAACAGCAGCUCACAGAUCUUUAAUAAAUGAAAUAAAUGUGACUGUAUGUCCUACAUCCCAUUCCUGUUGUCUUCCAUGUCUCCUCAGAGGAAGGCCUGAGGAGAGAAGACACAUAGUCAUGCUGACUAAACCAGAUCACCUAGAAUUACCAAAUGGAAAGAUUGUGCCUGCAGCCUGGCCUGUUGCCCACAGCGGUCUACCUGCCACACUGGGAAAGAUCGAGCAGAGACAGAGAAGAAAAGGAGGCUCCAUUUUUCAGGCUGCUCUCCCGCAGGCUCAUGUUUUGUGUUCAUGCCAGGCAGAGAACACAAAAUGUUCCAAUAAAUAAGUAUCAAAGGUUAGUGGUGAAAAUGAAGGAGGAGGAGGCAUUGCGUGAAAAACUAAACAUGCAAAAUAUUACACACAAAGAGAACCAAAAUGCAGGUUCACUGGAAAUGAUAGACAAUAUGUUAAAACAAGAGGAGAGAAGAGAGCUGAAAUAAUCAAAUGGAAACACACAAUUUAGGGCUAAGAUCUUGUUGUGUUCAGCCACAAAUGAUGGCCAGCAGUGAGGAAUCUGUGUGUUCUCCACACUCUUCGCUCCUGGGAAGUCAACUCACAUGGACCAUGAUAUCAAUAUCUGCUCCUUCCCCUAAUAUCUGUUUGACCUUGGGUCAGUUACUUAAACUUCCUAAGCCUUAGUUUCUUUGUCUGGAAAAUAGGGAUAGUUAUACCUACCACACAACCACUUUGUAAUGAAUAUGUUGGAAAUUAUAUGCAAAUUGGCUUCCGUUGGUGUUUGGAACAUAGUAGGUUUUUAACUGGAAUAUAAUAGCUACCAUUAUCAGUAUCAUCAUAUUAAUUUAUAUUUCCAUCUUCAGCCCUUAACCCAGGAUCUUCAGUAAAUGUUGAAUUCUCAAAUUUGUUAAAUUCACUUGUCUAUACUAAUAUUUUACUCUAGGUUUCUUAGAAUAUUCUAGAUAAUAUUAUUAUGUAGAAUAUGUUAUGUAAGCUUCAUCUUAUCUGUAAAUAUAGUUUUACUUUUUCCUUUCUAAUUUUUAUGUCGAUUACUUCUUUUUCUUGGCUUAUUGAAUUGGCUAGGAUUCCCGUACAGUGUUGAAUACGUGCAGCAAGACUGCACAUCUUGCCUUGUUCCUGGUCCCACAGAGAGAAUAUCCAGUACUUCACAAUAAGUAUGUGUUAAUUGUAGAUUUUAUUAGAUUGAGGAAGUUCCCUUUCCUUUCAAGUCAGUCUUUUUAUUUUAAACAUGUAUUGAAGUUUUGUCAAAUGUCUUCAUCUAUUGGAAUAAUUAUACAUAUCUCUUUUUUAUUCUGUUAAUAUUACAUUUCAAUCUUCUGUCUACCUAAAAUCCCUAGAAUAAUCUCCAUUUGGCUAUGAUGUGUUGUGCUUUUAUAUAUUACUGAAUUCUAUAUGCCAAUAUUAUUAAAAUUUUCUGUCUU